rnacentral:rRNA from 1 species
AACGAACGCUGGCGGCAUGCCUAACACAUGCAAGUCGAACGAGACCUUCGGGACUAGUGGCGCACGGGUUCGUAACGCGUGGGAACCUGCCCUUAGGUUCGGAAUAACUCCCCGAAAGGGGUGCUAAUACCGGAUAAUGUCUUCGGACCAAAGAUUUAUCGCCUUUGGAUGGGCCCGCGUUGGAUUAGCUAGUUGGUAGGGUAAAAGCCUACCAAGGCGACGAUCCAUAGCUGGUCUGAGAGGAUGGUCAGCCACACUGGGACUGAGACACGGCCCAGACUCCUACGGGAGGCAGCAGUGGGGAAUAUUGGACAAUGGGCGAAAGCCUGAUGCAGCAAUGCCGCGUGAGUGAUGAAGGCCUUAGGGUUGUAAAGCUCUUGUACCCGGGAUGAUAAUGACAGUACCGGGAGAAUAAGCCCCGGCUAACUCCGUG